ensembl:snRNA U6 U6 spliceosomal RNA
GUGCUCACUUUGGCAGCACAUACACUAAAAUUGAAACAAUACAGAGAGGAUUAGCGUGGCCCCUGCACAAGGAUGGCACCCAAAUUCAUGAAGUAUUCCAUAGUUUU